CGGCCACACUGGGACUGAGACACGGCCCAGACUCCUACGGGAGGCAGCAGUGGGGAAUCUUCCGCAAUGGGCGAAAGCCUGACGGAGCAAUGCCGCGUGGGGGAUGAAGGUCUUCGGAUUGUAAACCCUUGUCUUCGGGGAAGAAGAAUGACGGUACCCGAGGAGGAAGCCCCGGCUAAC
rnacentral:rRNA from 1 species